AUUUUUCUGUAGUGUAUUUUUAGUAGUUAUCAAUCGAUGUGCUCAACGUAUGAUUAUAUUAUAGUCAUUUAUUUGUAUUUUUUUUAAUUUUUACAUUAAUUUCACAAUUGUUAUGAUUUUUUCAUUAACUUGUACUUUUAUAAAAUAAUCAGAGAAUGUAACUAACGUAUGAAAUCAUUCUAACCAUUUUUUCUAUUCCUUCAUAUUUUAUAUUUUUUAUUUAGUUGCUCUUAAUUUUUUAAC
rnacentral:lncRNA from 1 species